UGCAUUAUAUACACACUACACAAACACACACACUGCAUUAUAUACACAGUGUGUUUGUGUAGUGUGCAUUAUAUAAACACACUGCAUUAUAUACACAGUGUGUUUGUGUAGUGUGUUUAUAUAAUGCAGUGUGUUUGUGUAGUGUGCAUAAUAUAA